CCUACGGGCGACAGCAGUGGGGAAUAUUGCACAAUGGGCGCAAGCCUGAUGCAGCGACGCCGCGUGAGCGAAGAAGUAUUUCGGUAUGUAAAGCUCUAUCAGCAGGGAAGAAAAUGACGGUACCUGACUAAGCAGCUCCGGCUAACUACGUGCCAGCAGCCGCGGUAAUACGUAUGGAGCAAGCGUUAUCCGGAAUUACUGGGUGUAACGGGAGCGUAGACGGAUGUGCAAGUCUGAUGUGAAAGGCUGGGGCUUAACCCCUGGACUGCAUUGGAAACUGUAAAUCUUGAGUGCAGGAGAGGUAAGCGGAAUUCCUAGUGUAGCGGUGAAAUGCGUAGAUAUUAGGAGGAACACCAGUGGCGAAGGCGGCUUACUGGACGGUAACUGACGUUGAGGCUCGAAAGCGUGGGGAGCAAACAGGAUUAGAUACCCUAGUAGUC
rnacentral:rRNA from 1 species